GCCGUGAUCGUAUAGUGGUUAGUACUCUGCGUUGUAGCCGCAGCAAUGCCGGUUCGAAUCUGGGUCACGGCA
rfam:Danio rerio chromosome 4, GRCz11 reference primary assembly.